AACUGCUGAAAGAUGGACCACAAGUCAAAUAAUGUCUAUUUGCUUUGGGUGUUGCACCCUUUUUUCCAAGAAUCCAUCCUUUUGCUUUACAGUGCUUUCUAUUUUUAAGGAUCAAGGUUGAGAAACUGCUUUUAAUGGAAAAGUUACAGUCCAUUGAAUAAUUGCUUAAGGAUAACUUCUUAAAUAUCCAGAGGGCUUCCACUGAAUGCAAAUUACUUCCUGAGUGUGUCAGUAAUACCUUAACAGCCUCAUCAAUUUCUUACUGGUAAACCAGGAAUGCUGGAUUCAGUAUUUAUGGAAAUGCACAACUUCUAUUGCUAAGCUACUCAACAACCUCUUUGUACAUCCCUUCAAAAUUUACAGACAGCUGGAUUUGUUUUCUUAAAGCUGAAGAAUUUGGUGAAGAGUGGUUUAGUUUAAUUCAUAUUCUUUCAGUGUGUUCAGUACUUUGGCUGUCAUUUUCUAGUGUUCAGUCUUUAAGGAAUAGGCCAUAUUGUGUCAACAUUAUUUUGUUGAUAUGAGACCUGUGGUCACUGCUCUUAACCCUCCAAAAAUCUGUAAGAAGAAGGGCUGAAUCCAGUCUCGCUUUUAAAAUAUUUGAGAUUGAAUGCUUUAUUGUCAUUAGUGGCUACUUGUAUUUAAAAAAAAAUAGCUUUUGGAGGUGGAUUCUUUUAUUUUAGACAAUCCCAAUGAAUAUUUUCAGUGUUUUGUGUAUGCUUGCAUAUGGCUAAUAUGCUGCUCUUGAGCAAUCUUGAAGAACAUCUAUUAAUAUAUUUUAUAAACCUCUCUCUCUCAAAUUGUUACUAAGGUAUCUUUCUGUCUAAUCUUCUCCUUAUUUUUAAAUGAAAACCUCACCAGAUAAAUGCUUCUGAUUUUUGGUAUUGCUAGAACUUCCUCUGAGGUGUUUUUUUUAAUUCUAUCUCCAGUGAAAAGACAUGGAGAAACCUCCUGAUUUAACAUGUAGAACUGUGUAGUCUAAACUUCACGUCUGCUGGUACAGUAUGGAUGAUGCCAUUGUAGGUGAAAUUUCAGGACUAUGCCAUUAGAUUAAUACUCUUUUUAUAGCUUUAUGCAUUUUGCUGUGAUUGACAGUACAUCAGUUGUGUGAGAAAUGAAUGCUGUUUGGAUAAAUGUACUGUAGUAAGUGGUGUUACAGCCCAACUGAUGGGGCUCUUGCUGAUGCUCAUAAUGUCAGCUCCUCUAUAUGCUGGUGCUUCACAAUGAAUCUCUUAACUUCAGAUUGCCCUUCUUAUAAAAAUCCUAGUAGAUACUGUAAACAGUAAUGGGACUUGCGCAUUUCAUCACAAGAGACACUUCACUGUUCUAGAAAAAAAAUCAAUGUUUGUUUACUUUUAAUUAAGAUCUUCUUUAAAAUGUCUGUAACUCAAAAGUUUAGUUGUUCCAGUGAUAGCUACUUUAUUUUGAAGGUAAGCAGAAAAUGAUUUAAAAGUAUAUUCACAGAACCGAGAUGGUAAACAAGCAGUGUCUGUAUCUGAACUCCAAAGUGAUCUUUGACAUCUUUCUUUUGUCUUGUAUGCUUUUCUUUCUUAAAGUUGUCAUAGUUUGUUGUGGUUGAUUCUUGGCCUCUGUUAGCAUUGAUUCCUGUUCUAGGAUGUUCAUUUUGAGGUCAGCUGUUGCUGCAUAUGCUGUUUAGGAAGUUUCUGUUUCUUGAAUGUGAGGGAGAACCCCUGUCAAAAGUGCUUCUGAGAAAAGUGUUAUCUUUCCUUUCUUUGCUUCUGAGAAAAGUGUUAUCUUUGCUUCUUUUGCUACCUUGGCCGCAGGUUAACAAAGCAAGCACAAAUAUAUUCAUCUGGUACAUUGACAUUUGGUUUUGUUUGUUAAUGAAUCUGUGAUGAUGCUACGUCAAGAGGGAGCUGAAUAUGCCUUAGCUUGUUAAUUUGCCUAUUAAAUUUCAGUAUUCCACUAGUUAAGUAUUUUACUCUAUUUUUUUUUUUUACCUUUUUCCGGGACUCUUCUUAAUAUUUCUUUUUCAUUUUUAUUUAUACUAUUCUAUAGGUCAUCUUUUGUCUGAGUGCAAGAAACCUGAACGUGCGAACCUGACAGAUAGUGUAAAUGUUCUUUGUACAUUCUUGUGCAGAGUGUAAAAUAAACAUACUGGUUAAUUCAACCUUGAUGAUGAUUUGUGGUUUAAGUCAAAACUCAAAAUUAAAAAAUGGAGAGAUAGAUGUGCCUAUCUUAUUUUCAUAAGGUUUGGGGAAAUAUUUUUUUUUUUCCCCACUGUAAACUUCAACUGACUCAAGAGGAACCUUGACAGGCGGUAUGAAAGUGAGGUUAAGUCUCCAAAGCCAGAAUGAUUUCAAGAAUGCAUACUCAGAAAUCACACUUCGCACUUACAAGUAUCCUGAAAUAUUGGAAAUCUUCUGUUCAUCCUUCAGUCCAAAGAAAACAAUUGAAAAGAGAUUGCCCAUGUGAUAGCUGGGUUUUUGCUUCGCCUGUCAAAAGCCUCUGUUCAUGAGAACUGAACUAACUAGCGAGACACGGAAUUCCUUGCUCUGCUGCCGUGAGCCAUUGGCAGAAUCCAGCAAAUGG